rnacentral:misc_RNA from 1 species
GUGGCAUAUAAUAUGUCAUGACCAGCAUCAGCUAACCAAGUUACACCAUGUCAAGAAUUAGAUUAGAUGUUCAAUAUGAGAGAACGUUGCUGAGCUAAUCAAAAUUUAGAAAUAAAUACAAAUAGGAGAGUAUAUACAUUGUGUUGAUGAACUGUGACCAGUCCGAUGUGAUGGCAAAGAUGAUGUCAGGACAAAAUGCUGGAAUUGUAACUAUGAAAACAAACAGAGAUCUGUAUUGUAUUUGUUUUGUAGUGUUAAAAACAAGUAUUGGCAUACCUCCAGGAAUAGAUCACCAAAAGAAAUUCUAUCCCCAGGUUCAAUCA